AGCUAGACCAGAGGUAGUGAGUUAUCUCGAUUGAUUGUUCAGUCAGUUACAGAUUGAACUCCUCGUUCUACUCAUUGCUGUCUUCUCACUGCUGCACUUGACUAGUCUUAA
ensembl:misc_RNA Y_RNA Y RNA